AAGUGUGGAUGGUAGUUCCAUGAUACUGGCUGAGUUUGCAAUAGCAGGUGGAACCCUAACUAUUGAGGGAGUUUGCAGAUACCUCAGGAUUCGUGACAAUGCCUUUAAAGAUCCAGGAGAGAUGUUCAGCUACUAGGAACUGCUAGCAAGCAUAGCGCGAAUGGCUCCGAGCUCAGACACUCUGCAGCUGAGAGUAGACACUUGUGGUAUGUGGAGUACAGAUAAGCCAGGGGCAGGCCACGGCACGCUCCAUGACAGCUAGGAGGGAGUGAAGUUUCAGUGACCAUCGCAAGGAAGGAGGCAGACAAGAGUAAGGCACACCUGACUCUUAGGACUAGCAGUCAGAACCAGGAGAAAAGGUUUUAUUGCUAUGCUGGUAGGUAAGAACAGAUUUUACUUCCAUCCAUAUAGUUAAAAUCCAGUUUUCUAUUAACAUUUUCCUUAAUCUAUUGAGCCAAAACUAGUCCAGUUAAGCUGAACUUGGUUUUUCUGGAGAUGGAUUGCUUUAAAUUGACACCCUAUUCUGGGUGACUCCUAAUUGAAGGAAGCGAGCACAUUAAUUACAUUAUUUCUACUGUGAUUUUGCCCUUUAAUUUUAUUUACCUUCCUUUGACCCAUUUCCUUAAAACAAUGGCUCAAAGUAAUGCAUUAGAAUCUCUUCCCCAAAUGGUGGGAGGGUGGGUGGACAUUAUUGGGAGGUGGGGGGUUUAGCUUGAGAUGGGACUUGGUCUUAGAAAAGAGUUACUUCUAAAGGUUCUUUACUUUUCUAGGGAGGAGUCUGCCACUAGAGUCUUACCAACUCAAAAAAACCAGAAACUCAUCUGUCCAAGUUAAUGACAAAAAGGAACAUUCUUGUGAGGACAGCCUUUAUCUGAGCCACUGUACUUCAUUCUCACUGCCAUGCAGUUGACAUGAGCUGCAUAGCAGCUCUAAUUCCAUUUUGUGAAUGGGUUUUUUAAUAAACGGUAUCUAUCUUA